rnacentral:rRNA from 1 species
AUACGUAGGGUGCAAGCGUUAAUCGGAAUUACUGGGCGUAAAGCGUGCGCAGGCGGUUUUGUAAGACAGAGGUGAAAUCCCCGGGCUCAACCUGGGAACUGCCAUUGUGACUGCAAGGCUGGAGUGCGGCAGAGGGGGAUGGAAUUCCGCGUGUAGCAGUGAAAUGCGUAGAUAUGCGGAGGAACACCGAUGGCGAAGGCAAUCCCCUGGGCCUGCACUGACGCUCAUGCACGAAAGCGUGGGGAGCAAACAGGAUUAGAUACCCUGGUAGUCCACGCCCUAAACGAUGUCAACUGGUUGUUGGGGAUUUAUUUUCUCAGUAACGAAGCUAACGCGUGAAGUUGACCGCCUGGGGAGUACGGCCGCAAGGUUAAAACUCAAAUGAAUUGACGGGG